rnacentral:tRNA from 1 species
GGGCCCGUAGCUCAUCUGGUAGAGCGCCGCAUUUGCACUGCGGAGGUGAGGAGUUCGAUCCUCCUCGGGUCCA